UCGAAAUCGGUGACGCUACGGACUUAAAAAUCGUGAGGGUUCAAGUCCCUCUAUCCCCAAAAAACCUAUUUUUC
rnacentral:tRNA from 2 species